GCCUAGGAAUCUGCCUGGUAGUGGGGGACAACGUUUCGAAAGGAACGCUAAUACCGCAUACGUCCUACGGGAGAAAGCAGGGGACCUUCGGGCCUUGCGCUAUCAGAUGAGCCUAGGUCGGAUUAGCUAGUUGGUGAGGUAAUGGCUCACCAAGGCGACGAUCCGUAACUGGUCUGAGAGGAUGAUCAGUCACACUGGAACUGAGACACGGUCCAGACUCCUACGGGAGGCAGCAGUGGGGAAUAUUGGACAAUGGGCGAAAGCCUGAUCCAGCCAUGCCGCGUGUGUGAAGAAGGUCUUCGGAUUGUAAAGCACUUUAAGUUGGGAGGAAGGGUUGUAGAUUAAUACUCUGCAAUUUUGACGUUACCGACAGAAUAAGCACCGGCUAACUCUGUGCCAGCAGCCGCGGUAAUACAGAGGGUGCAAGCGUUAAUCGGAAUUACUGGGCGUAAAGCGCGCGGAGGUUGUUUGUUAAGUUGGAUGUGAAAUCCCCGGGCUCAACCUGGGAACUGCAUCCAAAACUGGCAAGCUAGAGGAUGGUAGAGGGUGGUGGAAUUUCCUGUGUAGCGGUGAAAUGCGUAGAUUUGGGAAGGAACACCAGUGGCGAAGGCGACCACCUGGACUGAUACUGACACUUAGGUGCGAAACCUGGGGGAGCAAACAGGAUUAGAUACCCGGGGAGUCCACGCCGGAAACGAUGUCAACUAGCCCUUGGGAGCCUUGAGCUCUUAGGGGCGCAGCUAACGCAUUAAGUUGACCGCCUGGGGA
rnacentral:rRNA from 2 species